rnacentral:rRNA from 1 species
UGGGGAAUAUUGGACAAUGGGCGAAAGCCUGAUCCAGCCAUGCCGCGUGUGUGAAGAAGGUCUUCGGAUUGUAAAGCACUUUAAGUUGGGAGGAAGGGCCAUUACCUAAUACGUGAUGGUUUUGACGUUACCGACAGAAUAAGCACCGGCUAACUCUGUGCCAGCAGCCGCGGUAAUACAGAGGGUGCAAGCGUUAAUCGGAAUUACUGGGCGUAAAGCGCGCGUAGGUGGUUUGUUAAGUUGGAUGUGAAAUCCCCGGGCUCAACCUGGGAACUGCAUUCAAAACUGACUGACUAGAGUAUGGUAGAGGGUGGUGGAAUUUCCUGUGUAGCGGUGAAAUGCGUAGAUAUAGGAAGGAACACCAGUGGCGAAGGCGACCACCUGGACUGAUACUGACACUGAGGCGCGAAAGCGUGGGGAGCAAACAGGAUUAGAUACCCCGGUAGUCCCUGAGCGGGCUGGCAAGGCGCAU